ACAAUGGUCUGGGAGCUGGUGCGAUCGCUGGGAUUGUGAUUGCAGUAUUGGUUGUUGGUGGAGGCGGGAUCGGAGCUGGAACAGCCUAUUGGAUGAGGAAAAAACGGAACAGGCCGGAAGCCGAACCUGGGACGAAAUACGACGCGAACAGGAGUCCAAGGGGACAGACUGCCUCGGCCACAGAUUCCGAGGACGGACUGGCAACCUAUGAAAAUCUCCCGGGUAAAGAUCAGGGAAUCACUCACGCGCCAGAGGGAGACCCCACAUAUAUGGGUCUGAAGCUGGAUGAUCGAUCGGUUUACAGUGAACUACGGAGG